CCUACGGGCGGCAGCAGUGAGGAAUAUUGGUCAAUGGUCGGGAGACUGAACCAGCCAAGCCGCGUGAGGGAUGAAGGUACAGAGUAUCGUAAACCUCUUUUGUCAGGGAACAAAGGCGGGGACGCGUCCCCGGAUGAGUGUACCUGAAGAAAAAGCAUCGGCUAAAUCCGUGCCAGCAGCCGCGGUAAUACGGAGGAUGCGAGCGUUAUCCGGAUUUAUUGGGUUCAAAGGGUGCGCAGCCGGUCGGGAAAGUCAGCGGGCAAAGCCCGGGGCUCAACCCCGGCCCGCCGUUGAAACUGGCAGUCUCGAGUUGGAGAGAAGUAUGCGGAAUGCGCGGUGUAGCGGUGAAAUGCAUAGAGAGCGCGCAGAACUCCGAUUGCGAAGGCAGCAUGCCGGCUCCACACUGACGCUGAGGCACGAAAGCGUGGGUAUCGAACAGGAUUAGAUACCCGUGUAGUC
rnacentral:rRNA from 1 species